rnacentral:rRNA from 1 species
AGGACGAACGCUGGCGGCGUGCUUAACACAUGCAAGUCGUGCGGUAAGGCCUUUCGGGGUACACUAGCGGCGAACGGGUGAGUAACACGUGGGUGAUCUGCCCUGCACUUCGGGAUAAGCCUGGGAAACUGGGUCUAAUACUGGAUAUGACCUCAGGUUGCAUGACUUGGGGUGGAAAGAUUUAUCGGUGCAGGAUGGGCCCGCGGCCUAUCAGCUUGUUGGUGGGGUAAUGGCCUACCAAGGCGACGACGGGUAGCCGACCUGAGAGGGUGACCGGCCACACUGGGACUGAGACACGGCCCAGACUCCUACGGGAGGCAGCAGUGGGAAUAUUGCACAAUGGGCGAAAGCCUGAUGCAGCGACGCCGCGUGAGGGAUGGACGGCCGUUCGGGUUGUAAACCUCUUUCAGCAGGACGAAGCGCAAGUGACGUACUGCAGAAGAAGCACCGGCUAACUACGUGCCAGCACGCGC